rnacentral:rRNA from 1 species
GACGAACGCUGGCGGCGUGCUUAACACAUGCAAGUCGAACGGAAAGGCCCUGCUUUUGUGGGGUGCUCGAGUGGCGAACGGGUGAGUAACACGUGAGUAACCUGCCCUUGACCUUGGGAUAACUUCAGGAAACUGGGGCUAAUACCGGAUAGGAGCUCCUGCUGCAUGGUGGGGGUUGGAAAGUUUCGGCGGUUGGGGAUGGACUCGCGGCUUAUCAGCUUGUUGGUGGGGUAGUGGCUUACCAAGGCUUUGACGGGUAGCCGGCCUGAGAGGGUGACCGGCCACAUUGGGACUGAGAUACGGCCCUGACUCCUACGGGAGGCAGCAGUGGGGAAUAUUGCACAAUGGGCGGAAGCCUGAUGCAGCAACGCCGCGUGCGGGAUGACGGCCUUCGGGUUGUAAACCGCUUUCGCCUGUGACGAAGCGUGAGUGACGGUAAUGGGUAAAGAAGCACCGGCUAACUACGUG